UACGAAGGGGGCUAGCGUUGCUCGGAAUCACUGGGCGUAAAGCGCACGUAGGCGGCUUGUUAAGUCAGGGGUGAAAUCCUGGAGCUCAACUCCAGAACUGCCCUUGAUACUGGCGAUCUUGAGUCCGGGAGAGGUGAGUGGAACUGCGAGUGUAGAGGUGAAAUUCGUAGAUAUUCGCAAGAACACCAGUGGCGAAGGCGGCUCACUGGCCCGGUACUGACGCUGAGGUGCGAAAGCGUGGGGAGCAAACAGG
rnacentral:rRNA from 1 species